AUUCUGUUUACUUCUUUAGUGACUUUCCUGCACUACUUCUGUGAAGUCCGUAUCCUAUGUCAUUUGAGGCCACUGAAAUCUCUGCUUGGUUAGUUUUGUUAUUUGGCUAGUAAUUAAACAGAGAUUUUAUUAAAUGCCAUUAGCCAAUAAAUCUCCCAGUCUUUGCCUAGGAGUUCCAUGUGUGUGUGUUGGAGUACAUUAGCAUCAACUGGUAAUGCCAUCUCAGGCAGCAUCAGUGUUAAACAAUUGUCCCUGGUUGUUUGCCACAGAUUCCUUGAGGAUAGAUCUAUUUCCACAGAGUGAGCUCUUAGAGUCAGCUCAAAUAAUAGAGCUUUUCAGCAAUCUACCAGUCAGGUCAAAUAGUGACAAUUCCUUGGGGGUUAGGCUUUUGUGGAGCUUCAAAUCUUUUAUUCAUCCUCCAGUAGCUACUAUAAUGUUGGUUUUCAUAGCUACCAUAGUUGUGAGGGUAUUGGCUUUCAAAGCCACUGACGAGCUGGAGAGAGCAGAAUGGGAUUAGGGAAAGUUAAAAUAUAUAACACUCACUCUUUUUACUGAGAUUCGGCUGUCUUUGUUUCUUUAAAUACAUAUCUUUCAGAUGGUUUCAAACAUAUAGCAAUUUUCAGUGUUCUAAAAAUGUUAAUUUUGACAGUUUUUGUUAGUGUUCUUAUUGUUUUUAUGAAAAAGCAGAUUUCAAAUGUCUUUGCUCCACCAUUCCAGAUCAUUCUUUUAUUUUUGCAGUUUUUGUUAUCAAAGUUCACUAAAUUUCUUGGCCCAAAAAUAUAGGCAAGUAGCAACUAAAUAUAGAGUAAAAAUGUUAUGAUAUGAGCAAAAUGUUCAACUAUUCCAAAUGGGCUGAGUGAAAAUAGGUUUUCUGAGCAUCCAUUUACAUUGGCCAGGCAUAGUGGCUCAUGCCUAUAAUUCCAGCAUUUGGGAGGCUGAGGCAGGAGGAUCAUUAAAGGACUAGAGUUAAAGACAAGCCUGGGCAACAUGGUGAGACCCUAUCUCUAAAAAAAAUUUAAAAAUUAGCUGGCCAUGGUGAAAUGUACCUGUAAUUGUAGCUACUCAGGAGGCUGAAGUGGGAGGAUUGCUUAAGCCCGGGAGUUUGCAGCUGCAGUGAGCUGUUAUUGCACCACUGCACUCCAGCCUGGGCAACAGAGCAAGACCCCAUCUCUAAAAUAAAGAAAUAAAAAGGUAGAAAAAUAUCAGAGUUGGUGGAAAGAGGGACUAAGAGAGGUGCAAAUGUACACUUAAAAUCCAUGCAUUUCCUUGUAUGUAAAUUGUAUAUCUAAAUAUUGAAAUAUAGUAGUGAUAUGUGUUCUAAAGUAAUUAGAUAAAAAUAUGUUAGUGUCUGCAAUGUACUUGAAAUGUGUUCAAAAUCAGGUGGAUUCACAGAUACACAAAGGAAUUGAUAGGUAUGAAAACACAAAAACAACAAAAUAACAAGCUUAGUAAAGUUAAUAAUACACAGGUAUUCAUUGUAAAAUCUCUUAAAUUGGCAUUAUUUUUGAAAAAUAUCUUAAUAAAAUAUUGUGAGUAAAAACUUCUCUUCAGACAGAUAUUAGUUUGAAACAUAAUUUUAAAAAAACAGCAUCACAAUAGAAAUGACUAGUAUUUUUCCAGAGUUAAGAAACUUUAGAAACAUUGAUAGAAAGCUAAAAAGAUAAAAGCCAAUCUUUGUCAAAGGGGCUCAGCUAAAAUCCUUCAGGAAUUGAGGAAAUGUUUUUUUUAAAAAAGCUACAUCUCUCUUAAUCUGCGAGAAGAGAAAUUAGUACCAUUUACAGCUUUAUAUAGGUGACAUCUUAAAGGUUUCUCUGUAAUAGAAUGAAAACAUGAAACACUGCUUUCCAUUUUUUAGUACCAUUUCUGUAAACGUAAGAGAAGUAGUAGAUGAAUCAGAUACCAAACUUUUAUGAGACCAGUGAACACAAUGGUUUAGUUCAAAACUAUUUAAAGAUAAAAUUGGUUCAUAGGAAUUCUGUGAGGUGAAAAUUGUACAUAACAGCAUCAAAAUGCGAUCCCAUUAGUGUACACUGAGAGCAUCUUCUUUCUCCUAGAAACUUAACUAGCCCACAGUUUAAAAUUUAAUAUACAAUAUAAAGUCUUUUCAUCCAGACCAGAUUAUUUGCCUAUCUUUUGCAGAACUGCUAGAUUGUUAUUUAAUGUGAUUGCGUGACACAAAGCCUGGAUAUACAUGGUAAAAUAUGUAUCAGCAGUCGCCACUACAGCA
rnacentral:lncRNA from 1 species